CGCGGGGACGCGGCCCCCGCUGACGUCACGCGCGCGGUGUGGGAAAAAGGGGGCGUGACCCCGCCUCUCUCCCCCCCCCCCCCCCUCAACCCGGUCACCUCUGCGGGGGUGGUGCGCGCAGUAGGAGCAAUACGGUAAGGGAGCGGGAGGCGCACUCGCGGCGUUACGGUAGCGGCGGCGGGGCCGCGCCCCGGCCGUAAGAUGGCGGCGCCGGGCGGCCCGCGAGCAGCCCCCGGCCGCCGGGCGGGCACCGCGGCUGCCCCCCGAGCCUCGGCGCGGCGCCUGGGAGCGGCGGCGGACCCGCAUCGCUAGGUCACUUCUUUCUGAAAGGAGCAGAGUCAAACAUAGCUGCGCAUUUCUGGAUGACAGUGCUACAACCUGUUGCAAUGAAAGCAGGCUGUCAUUUUCACCUGUCCAUUUAGUCUACCCACCAAAUACCAGAGCUUAAGAAAGAACAGAGAAGACACCCAAAUUCAGGACCAUUGAAGGUGAGUUGAGCAAGUUGUUUUCAAAAUAAAAUUUCAUAGAAAACACAGCCUUUUGUUUUAGGGGACCUUCCAAUUUGUUUUUUUCUGGAAUUCUCUGAGUAUUAUGGCUGUUGUCAUCUUUAAAGCCUGCAGUUAUGCUGUAAGCUUAAGCUAAUUCAUUAUGUCAUCUCACAGUAAUUCUGUAACAUUCCCAUGCUAUAGAUCUACUCUACUUCUGAACUUUGAGCCAGUCUUUUUAAAUUCUUGUCUUGUACCAUAGCUGCUUCACUACUUCUGGUACUCUUUCUGUGCCUUGCAGAGCCAUUUCACAUGUAUGCGUUUGCUAUCAAUCAAACUACACUUUUAUCUAAUCAUCAGCAAGUUUGCAGACCAUGUUUUUCUCCUGUGCAGACAAUCCGCAUGCCGGAGGAUCUUUUAGCUCUCUAACUGACCCAACUUAUGCAAAGCAGCCUUAAUGCUGCUAGUGCUAAUGGUUCUCAUGGAAAAAACAUAUAUAUAUAUAUGUAUAUAUAUAUAUAUAUAUGCUUUUAUAUAUAUAUAUAUAUAUAUAUAUGUGCUUUUCUUUCUGCGCA
rnacentral:lncRNA from 1 species